rnacentral:lncRNA from 1 species
AACAUAAUUUUAAUUCUUUAACUUAAUGUAAUGUGAUAUUAACUGUUACCAGGACCCUACUGGGACUACGAAGGCGUCCUUACAUAAGAAAGUUCUUAAAGGUCCAAAUUUUGGUCAACAUAUCGGUCUUGGUUGCGUUAUGAUACUUAACAAUGUAACCCAUGUUAUUCAAACUUCUAUUUAUACUCCAUAACUUUUUCGUAUUGUUACUUAUAUCGUUUUCUUCUUUUCAUUUAGGUUCGUGCAUUCAGUGCAUUUCCCCCAAACUAUUACGUUAACAUAGUGCUUCGAAAUGUAAUCAAAGUCUUUCCCGCUGACAUAUGUCCUCCCACUAAAGAACUCGUCAUGGAGACACACAAACC